UGCUCAUGUUUUUCUUCAUUUCGUAUAAAUCUUUCGCCUUUUACUAAAGAUUUCCGUGGAGAAGGACACAAUGAGUUAAAAUUAAUUUUUUGAUGUUCUGCUUAAUUGUAGGACU